GACGAACGCUGGCGGCGUGCCUAAUACAUGCAAGUAGAACGCUGAAGGAGGAGCUUGCUUCUCUGGAUGAGUUGCGAACGGGUGAGUAACGCGUAGGUAACCUGCCUGGUAGCGGGGGAUAACUAUUGGAAACGAUAGCUAAUACCGCAUAAGAGUAGAUGUUGCAUGACAUUUGCUUAAAAGGUGCAAUUGCAUCACUACCAGAUGGACCUGCGUUGUAUUAGCUAGUUGGUGAGGUAACGGCUCACCAAGGCGACGAUACAUAGCCGACCUGAGAGGGGGAUCGGCCACACUGGGACUGAGACACGGCCCAGACUCCUACGGGAGGCAGCAGUAGGGAAUCUUCGGCAAUGGACGGAAGUCUGACCGAGCAACGCCGCGUGAGUGCAGAAGGUUUUCGGAUCGUAAAGCUCUGUUGUAAGAGAAGAACGAGUGUGAGAGUGGAAAGUUCACACUGUGACGGUAUCUUACCAGAAAGGGACGGCUAACUACGUG
rnacentral:rRNA from 1 species